GGGUUUAGUCUCUUCUGUCUUCUGCUGUAUCUCCAGAGCCUGAAGACAGUGCUUGGCAUAUAGUUGGUGCUGAGUAAAUAUUUGAGGAUUGGCUAUAUGACUGAAAAUACAUGAAAGCAUGACUUACUGUUUAUAAAAGUCCUUUGAGACAAGGUGGAAAGAUCAGUGAGGUUCCUGCCAGCAUAGGAUCAUUAAUAGACCCAGUGAGAAAGAAAUGCCCCAAGUGCAGAAUGCCCCUGAGUGGAAGUCAUGGUGCCCGUGCCUGACCUGGGCCAGCAUGCAGCCAGCUCACACCUCAGUGGCUUCUGAAGAACUCACCACAGAUGAGCACACCCCACUUCAUUUCCAUCCAGGCCUCUUUUGCCCCAAGGCCUGCCCUCAGUGCUCUGCCUCAAUCAUUUACUUUCUUUUUUUCUCUAGGUGCCAGGGUUUGCAGCCUAUUGGAGGAAAACAACAUCAAGCCUGCUGGGAAAGGGAGCCAGGGACUGGUGACCACCCAAGAUUUGCCUGCCAGCUCCUAUCCCCAGUCCCACCCACAUCAAUGAGGUGCCAAUUUAUUCAGCAUUUCUUGGGGCAACGAUCACCUGCAUAA
rnacentral:lncRNA from 1 species